UCCACUUCAGCCUAUCAAGAUUCCCCCUCAGGUCCAUCAAUCUCUGAUUUGGUGGUUACAGAAGAAAUCCUUGUUCAGAGGGUUUCCAUUGGGGAACAUCACAUGGACAGUUAUUACCACGGACGCAAGCCAGUGGGGAUGGGGUGCUCACCUACAAGAUCAGUUUAUCCAGGGGAAAUGGUCCUUUCCAGUAACAGAAACUCCCUCCAACCAAUUAGAGCUUUUGGCAGUUCUAAAAGCUCUAGAAAUUCUCCUUCCCCUCAUACGCUUCAAGUGGAUCAAGAUCAGAUCAGACAAUUCCACUGUAGUUGCCUACAUAAAC